rnacentral:rRNA from 1 species
UGGGGAAUAUUGGACAAUGGGCGCAAGCCUGAUCCAGCCAUGCCGCGUGUGUGAAGAAGGUCUUCGGAUUGUAAAGCACUUUAAGUUGGGAGGAAGGGCAGUAAGCGAAUACCUUGCUGUUUUGACGUUACCGACAGAAUAAGCACCGGCUAACUCUGUGCCAGCAGCCGCGGUAAUACAGAGGGUGCAAGCGUUAAUCGGAAUUACUGGGCGUAAAGCGCGCGUAGGUGGUUCGUUAAGUUGAAUGUGAAAGCCCCGGGCUCAACCUGGGAACUGCAUCCAAAACUGGCGAGCUAGAGUAGGGCAGAGGGUGGUGGAAUUUCCUGUGUAGCGGAGAAAUGCGUAGAUAUAGGAAGGAACACCAGUGGCGAAGGCGACCACCUGGGCUCAUACUGACACUGAGGUGCGAAAGCGUGGGGAGCAAACAGG